AGGAGAAUAGUUCAACGGUAGAUCGUUGGUCUCCAAAACCAAAAGUAGGGGUUCGAAUCCCCUUUCUCCUG
rnacentral:tRNA from 1 species